AUUGAACGCUGGCGGCAGGCCUAACACAUGCAAGUCGAGCGAGCGGCGGACGGGUGAGUAAUGUAUGGGGAAUGCCCGAUAGAGGGGGAUAACUACUGGAAACGGUGGCUAACACCGCAUACUAUCGGAUCACCCAUAUGGGAUUAGCUAGUAGGGGGGGUAAAGGCUCACUUAGGCGACGAUCUCUAGCGGGUCUGAGAGGAUGAUCAGCCACCUUGUGACGUAGACAGGGCCCAGACGCCGACGGAGGCAGCAGUGUGGAAUAUGGGACAAUGGGCGCAAGCCUGCUGCAACGAUGCCGCGGGUAUGAAGAGGGCCGUAGGGGUGUAAAGUACUUUCAGCGGGGAUGCGUGACCCGCAGAAGAAGCACCGGCUAACUCCGUGCCAGCAGCCGCGGUAAUUC
rnacentral:rRNA from 1 species